rfam:Triticum aestivum genome assembly, contig: Triticum_aestivum_CS42_TGACv1_scaffold_147339_2BS
CCGCAUAAGUUGCAUCCUGCUGUAAAAUAUGGACAAAUAAUAAUGUUGAUGGAAUUUAGGUGAGUAUCAUGUGAGUUGUAGAUGCUCAUAAAGGACCACCACAUAACU